GUGCUCGCUUCGGCAGCACGUAUUCUAAAAUUGGGAAGACAGAAAAUUAGCAUGGUUUCUGUGCAAAAAAAUAAAUACAAGCAAAUAUAAAUCUGUUU
rnacentral:snRNA from 1 species